ensembl:lncRNA
GCAUUUAGAACAGGUGUUGCCAACUUUUGGAGUACAGUUAGACUUUCUUGGCAUUCUGUGGGCAGCCCACUCUGCUUCUUUCUUCCAGACAUGGAGGCAUUCGGGAGUUCUGUGGGCACCAGAAGCGCCAGUGCGCCUUUGGGUGCUGUACUGGAGAGCCGAUUUAGCAUCACAGCCUAAACAAGGCAGCGUGGCUUCCACAAGGAUUAAGCCCUGUCUGCCAUAAUAUUUACUCUUCAGAACGUCAAUCCUGUAAAUAUGUGGCUCUGAAGGACAUCAUCUGCUUGGACUUUUGGAAAUCUGCCUCAUGAAAGACUUCUGAGGAAGCGCAACAGUUACAGGAUAAAAGGGCAGACUGUUCUACGAGAUAAGUAGACCGGUCAAAGGCCAGACCAGCUAGCAGGAUUAGGCUGAGGUCCUUCAAGAUGGAAAGGUGUGUCCUCCUGCGCUGGGACCUGGGAUUUAUUAUUUUUAACUUGUUCAUAAAUGAUCUACGUGGGCUGCGUACAGUCAAAAGCGAGUGGUUAGAAUAGCCAGGUUUGCUGAUGACGUCAAAUCGUUCAGAGGGGUUUAAAGGAGGAUCGUGAAGGUUGCUGGGACCGAUUUAAAAGGGCCUCAACAUGGCAAGAGUUUUUCAAGGUGAGUAGCCAGUGAUGCACACUCGAGCAAAAANUGUCUACCCGUGCGGUAAUACCUGCGAGGUCUCUGCUUUUGGGGUUGUUGCGGGCUGCGAGAGGAGUUGAAAAAGCUGGACUGUGUAUUAAGGAUUUACGCCGUCGGUUAUGUCCUUCCGGCCUGUGUGGAGCUGGGCCGGGCUCGGGUCAGGCUUUUUCCCAGGGUGGGUGUCCGCUCUGCACUGGAGAAGGGGGUUUGUGCUUUUAGGUGCAAAUCGCUGCUAGACUACGUGUAAGAAAGGCAGCAAUAAGCGUCAGGAAAGGAAGGAAGGGCAAGCGGUGUCUGCCAACAUCGUAGCGCCCUUCCUUCAAGGCCCUGAGUGCCGUGUGACCCCCCCCCCCGUUUGGAAGAUCCGCGUUGGCUCGCGGACCCAGCAGGCCGGGCGCCGCAGCAGAAAAGUCCUCGCAAGGCGAGGAAGGCCGGAGCCGGAGGGGCGGCCACACUGCAGCAGCGGGGCCUCCUGGCUAGAGGGAGGUGUGGCGCGCGCGCGCCCACCGGGCGAGGGCUGGCGCGAGGGCCGAGCGCGAAGCGCGUUGUUUGCAGCGGGCCGCCCGAGCUCCCGGCGUCAUCGCGGCGCGCAGGCCAGGAGGCGGCGCCUGUCCUUGGCCGGCAAUGUCAGCAGCAGUGGUGGCGGCGGCGGAGCACGUGGGCGCCCAGCGGGGCUGUGCGGACGGAGAGGAAAGCUGACGGAGAGGACAGGUCGGUGCCUGUCGGCCAGGGCAGCCACAGCAGACGCUCGGGGAUGGUGAGCUGGCUCCGCGCGCUGGAGAUGAGCCGUCGUCAGCCUCGGCCGGAGAGAACUGAGGGCUCCGGUGUGAGUCACCGCGGCCUCCCGCCUGCCACGGGGGCUUCCCCAGCGACGGAAGGAGCUGCUCCCNGGCACAACUAGGCGCCGUGACGCGUCUCCGCGAGGUGGCG